rnacentral:rRNA from 1 species
AGAUUAAGUUAUUAAGGGCGCACGGUGGAUGCCUUGGCACUAGAAGCCGAUGAAGGACGUUACUAACGACGAUAUGCUUUGGGUAGCUGUAAGUAAGCGUUGAUCCAGAGAUUUCCGAAUGGGGGAACCCAGCAUGAGUUAUGUCAUGUUAUCGACAUGUGAAUUCAUAGCAUGUCAGAAGGCAGACCCGGAGAACUGAAACAUCUUAGUACCCGGAGGAAGAGAAAGAAAAAUCGAUUCCCUGAGUAGCGGCGAGCGAAACGGGAAGAGCCCAAACCAACAAGCUUGCUUGUUGGGGUUGUAGGACACUCUAUACGGAGUUACAAAAGAACAUGUUAGACGAAUCAUCUGGAAAGAUGAAUCAAAGAAGGUAAUAAUCCUGUAGUCGAAAACAUAUUCUCUCUUGAGUGGAUCCUGAGUACGACGGAGCACGUGAAAUUCCGUCGGAAUCUGGGAGGACCAUCUCCUAAGGCUAAAUACUCUCUAGUGACCGAUAGUGAACCAGUACCGUGAGGGAAAGGUGAAAAGUACCCCGGAAGGGGAGUGAAAGAGAACUUGAAUCCGUGUGCUUACAAGUAGUCAGAGCCCGUUAAUGGGUGAUGGCGUGCCUUUUGUAGAAUGAACCGGCGAGUUACGAUCUGAUGCAAGGUUAAGCAGCAAAUGUGGAGCCGCAGCGAAAGCGAGUCUGAAUAGGGCGUUGAGUAUUUGGUCGUAGACCCGAAACCAGGUGAUCUACCCUUGGUCAGGUUGAAGUUCAGGUAACACUGAAUGGAGGACCGAACCGACUUACGUUGAAAAGUGAGCGGAUGAACUGAGGGUAGCGGAGAAAUUCCAAUCGAACUUGGAGAUAGCUGGUUCUCUCCGAAAUAGCUUUAGGGCUAGCCUCAAGUGAUGAUUAUUGGAGGUAGAGCACUGUUUGGACGAGGGGCCCCUCUCGGGUUACCGAAUUCAGACAAACUCCGAAUGCCAAUUAAUUUAACUUGGGAGUCAGAACAUGGGUGAUAAGGUCCGUGUUCGAAAGGGAAACAGCCCAGACCACCAGCUAAGGUCCCAAAAUAUAUGUUAAGUGGAAAAGGAUGUGGCGUUGCCCAGACAACUAGGAUGUUGGCUUAGAAGCAGCCAUCAUUUAAAGAGUGCGUAAUAGCUCACUAGUCGAGUGACACUGCGCCGAAAAUGUACCGGGGCUAAACAUAUUACCGAAGCUGUGGAUUGUCCUUUGGACAAUGGUAGGAGAGCGUUCUAAGGGCGUCGAAGCAUGAUCGCAAGGACAUGUGGAGCGCUUAGAAGUGAGAAUGCCGGUGUGAGUAGCGAAAGAACGGGUGAGAAUCCCGUCCACCGAUUGACUAAGGUUUCCAGAGGAAGGCUCGUCCGCUCUGGGUUAGUCGGGUCCUAAGCUGAGGCCGACAGGCGUAGGCGAUGGAUAACAGGUUGAUAUUCCUGUACCACCUAGUAUCGUUUUAAUCGAUGGGGGGACGCAGUAGGAUAGGCGAAGCGUGCUGUUGGAGUGCACGUCCAAGCAGUAAGGCUGAGUGUUAGGCAAAUCCGGCACUCAUAAGGCUGAGCUGUGAUGGGGAGAGGAAAUUGUUUCCUCGAGUCGUUGAUUUCACACUGCCGAGAAAAGCCUCUAGAUAGAUAACAGGUGCCCGUACCGCAAACCGACACAGGUAGUCAAGAUGAGAAUUCUAAGGUGAGCGAGCGAACUCUCGUUAAGGAACUCGGCAAAAUGACCCCGUAACUUCGGGAGAAGGGGUGCUCUUUAGGGUUCACGCCCAGAAGAGCCGCAGUGAAUAGGCCCAAGCGACUGUUUAUCAAAAACACAGGUCUCUGCUAAACCGUAAGGUGAUGUAUAGGGGCUGACGCCUGCCCGGUGCUGGAAGGUUAAGAGGAGUGGUUAGCUUCUGCGAAGCUACGAAUCGAAGCCCCAGUAAACGGCGGCCGUAACUAUAACGGUCCUAAGGUAGCGAAAUUCCUUGUCGGGUAAGUUCCGACCCGCACGAAAGGCGUAACGAUUUGGGCACUGUCUCAACGAGAGACUCGGUGAAAUCAUAGUACCUGUGAAGAUGCAGGUUACCCGCGACAGGACGGAAAGACCCCGUGGAGCUUUACUGUAGCCUGAUAUUGAAAUUCGGCACAGCUUGUACAGGAUAGGUAGGAGCCUUUGAAACGUGAGCGCUAGCUUACGUGGAGGCGUUGGUGGGAUACUACCCUAGCUGUGUUGGCUUUCUAACCCGCACCACUUAUCGUGGUGGGAGACAGUGUCAGGCGGGCAGUUUGACUGGGGCGGUCGCCUCCUAAAAGGUAACGGAGGCGCUCAAAGGUUCCCUCAGAAUGGUUGGAAAUCAUUCAUAGAGUGUAAAGGCAUAAGGGAGCUUGACUGCGAGACCUACAAGUCGAGCAGGGUCGAAAGACGGACUUAGUGAUCCGGUGGUUCCGCAUGGAAGGGCCAUCGCUCAACGGAUAAAAGCUACCCCGGGGAUAACAGGCUUAUCUCCCCCAAGAGUUCACAUCGACGGGGAGGUUUGGCACCUCGAUGUCGGCUCAUCGCAUCCUGGGGCUGUAGUCGGUCCCAAGGGUUGGGCUGUUCGCCCAUUAAAGCGGUACGCGAGCUGGGUUCAGAACGUCGUGAGACAGUUCGGUCCCUAUCCGUCGUGGGCGUAGGAAAUUUGAGAGGAGCUGUCCUUAGUACGAGAGGACCGGGAUGGACAUACCUCUGGUGUACCAGUUGUCGUGCCAACGGCAUAGCUGGGUAGCUAUGUAUGGACGGGAUAAGUGCUGAAAGCAUCUAAGCAUGAAGCCCCCCUCAAGAUGAGAUUUCCCAACUUCGGUUAUAAGAUCCCUCGAAGAUGACGAGGUUAAUAGGUUCGAGGUGGAAGCGUGGUGACACGUGGAGCUGACGAAUACUAAUCGAUCGAAGACUUAAUCAAUUU